CAACUACUCCCUCUGUCCCAAAUUUCUUGUCUUAGAUUUGUCUAGAUACAGAUGUAUCUAAUACUAAAAUGUGACUUGAUACAUCCGUAUGUAGACAAAUCUAAGACAAGAAUUUUGGGACAGAGGAAGUACUUU
rnacentral:pre_miRNA from 1 species